AAGAUACUAGUAAAACUGAAUAUUACAUUGCCUUGUCAAGGCGAAAUUGCGGGUUAAAGUCCCGCGUAUCUUA
rnacentral:tRNA from 1 species